rnacentral:rRNA from 1 species
CUCAGAACGAACGCUGGCGGCGUGUCUUAAGCAUGCAAGUCGUACGGUCUCUUCGGAGGCANGGCGAACGGGUGCGUAACACGUGGAUAAUUACCCUUUGGUGGGGAAUAACCACACGAAAGUGUGGCUAAUACCGCAUAAUCUCGCAAAGACAUGUAAGUUUUUGUGAGGAAAGCAGCAAUGCGCCAUUGGAUAAGUCUGCGGCUUAUUAGCUAGUUGGUGAGGUAAAGGCUCACCAAGGCGAUGAUGGGUAGCUGGCCUGAGAGGGUGGCCGGCCACAUUGGAACUGAGACACGGCCCAGACACCUGCGGGUGGCAGCAGCUAAGAAUAUUCCGCAAUGGGCGAAAGCCUGACGGAGCGACGCCGCGUGGAGGAAGAAGGCCGAUGAGGUUGUAAACUCCUUUUCACAGGGAAGAUAAUAAAGCUAUAGGCUUUACAGGACGGUACCUGUGGAAUAAGCCCCGGCUAAUUACGUGCCAGCAGCCGCGGUAAGACGUAAGGGGCGAGCGUUGUUCGGAAUUACUGGGCGUAAAGGGCGCGCAGGCGGACUGGCAAGUCGGGUGUGAAAGACCGGGGCUCAACUCCGGAAUUGCGCUCGAAACUGCUGGUCUAGAGUGCGAGAGAGGAUGCUGGAAUUCCUGGUGUAGGGGUGAAAUCUUUAGAUAUCAGGAGGAAUACCGGUGGCGAAGGCGGGCAUCUGGCUCUGCACUGACGCUGAGGUGCGAAAGCGUGGAUAGCAAACAGGAUUAGAUACCCUGGUAGUCCACGCUGUAAACGUUGUGUUCUAGGUGUAUGGGGUAUCGAUCCCCUGUGUGCCGUAGCUAACGCGUUAAGAACACCGCCUGGGGAGUAUGCCGGCAACGGUGAAACUCAAAGGAAUUGACGGGGGCCCGCACAAGCGGUGGAGCAUGUGGUUUAAUUCGAUGAUACGCGAAGAACCUUACCUGGGCUCGACAUCCAGUGGAAUGGCACAGAGAUGUGUCAGCCCUUCGGGGCCGCUGGACAGGUGCUGCAUGGCUGUCGUCAGCUCGUGUUGUGAGAUGUUGGGUUAAGUCCCGCAACGAGCGCAACCCCUAUCCUUUGUUGCCAGCAGGUAAAGCUGGGCACUCGAAGGGAACUGCCGGACGUAAGCCGGAGGAAGGUGGGGAUGACGUCAAGUCCUCAUGGCCCUUAUGUCCAGGGCUACACACGUGCUACAAUGGUCGGUACAAAGAGAAGCUAAGCCGCGAGGUGGAGCAAAUCUCAAAAAGCCGAUCUCAGUUCGGAUUGGAGUCUGAAACUCGACUCCAUGAAGUUGGAAUCGCUAGUAAUCGUAGAUCAGCACGCUACGGUGAAUACGUUCCCGGGCCUUGUACACACCGCCCGUCACACCACCCGAGUUGGGGAUACCCGAAGUCGCCAAGCCAAC